AUUGAACGCUGGCGGAAUGCUUUACACAUGCAAGUCGAACGGCAGCACGGGGGCAGCCCUGGUGGCGAGUGGCGAACGGGUGAGUAAUACAUCGGAACGUGCCCGGUCGUGGGGGAUAACGUAGCGAAAGUUACGCUAAUACCGCAUACGAUCUGAGGAUGAAAGCGGGGGACCUUCGGGCCUCGCGCGAUCGGAGCGGCCGAUGUCAGAUUAGGUAGUUGGUGGGGUAAAGGCCUACCAAGCCGACGAUCUGUAGCUGGUCUGAGAGGACGACCAGCCACACUGGGACUGAGACACGGCCCAGACUCCUGCGGGAGGCAGCAGUGGGGAAUUUUGGACAAUGGGCGCAAGCCUGAUCCAGCCAUUCCGCGUGCAGGACGAAGGCCUUCGGGUUGUAAACUGCUUUUGUACGGAACGAAAAGGCUCUGGCUAAUACCUGGGGAUCAUGACGGUACCGGAAGAAUAAGCACCGGCUAACUACGUG
rnacentral:rRNA from 1 species